GUCAAUGGAAAAUCUUUCCAAUCAACUACUUGUACGCUAAUGGCGUAAUGUAUAAUUGGAAUUGAAUUAUUUCUGGAUUUGCAAAGAAAAACAGCAAGACUUGCCGCAGCCAAAAGUAUAUCAACCGCUUUUAUAGCUUCGCAAAAGAAAGAAUCAUCAUCCUGGACAAUCAAGAACCAAUGGAUCAGAUUUUCUUUCACCAAAACAUUUUUGUAUGCAUUGAAAAAGAAGUAAAAGUUACUUCUAUGAAAGAAUUACGAAACUUCUUAAUUUCUGUUAUCGUAUUUUGUUGGAGAUAGUUCUUGAUCGAUAAAAAAAGAGGCUAUACGCGAAGCGUGUGACGUACAGUAUGAAGAAAAGAAUUGUGAAGCUGUGACAGAUGAAUGUCCAAAAAAUAAUCUUUUAUAGGACCAAAUCUUUAUGUAAUAAUUGGAGCAUUUAAACCCGCAAAAAUUGUCGGUAUUCCCAGAGGUUUGAAAAAACUUGUUUCCUCAAAAAUGAAGAGUCUACGGUACACAGAACUUAUAUAUUAUAUUAUAUAGAAAUCCUUGGAAUGCGCCACUUCUUAGUCUAUUAAAAGUCUUUACAAUCAAUUACUUACCAUACAUGGCAGUAGUGUAAUAUAAAUUUGAAUGGAAUUAUUUCAGGACUUAGAAAGGUAUCAUAAUCGAAUAUAUUUGUAAUCGUCUUUAAUAUGAAUGGGUUUUUGAUAUAAUUGUACUUUGGACGGCUCAUGCUUCCUUAUCUAGUGCCUCUUUGUCAAGAGCUAACAAAGUUUCAUUUCAAUUUAAUCUGGAUAUCGUUCUUUGUUUUAUUUCAAUAAUCGAUUCGUUUACCCUUUCUCUUUCUCUCUCUCUCUCUAUAUAUAUAUAAUAUAUAAUACAUAACAGAAAUGAGUAACUAAGGGUUUACAAAAAAACAUUAUCAUAUACGUAUUCAUAUACGCCUCAAUGCAAUUACGACUUACAUCUUGCAUCGAAAGAUGACAAUAGUCGACUAUAAUUAGUGAAUUUCUUAAUCAGUGGUAUUACAUCUUACGUUGAUACAUUUGUGAAGAGUUUUGUUAUCUACGGCCAGUUGAAAGGCAUUUUAACUAUUAACCGAAGUAUUGAAAUCUUUUAUCAAAAGUCUUAACGUUAACGACAAACGAAUAAAAGAUUGUAUUACAGUUUAAUUCGAUAUCUUCCAUUGUAUCUUCCAAUAUAAUAAUGUAAAGUUUAUUAACGAGAAGUAGAAUCAUAUAUCUAAUUAAAAAUAAACAAAUAAUAGAUUUCGUUCCAUUACACAAAUGUAUAUACAUACAUUUAUGCGUACACAUUAAAAGUAUUGCUAAUAAAAAAUCAAUGGAAUUAUAGAAAACAUUUCAUUGUAAAUUGAUGCCGACAAUAACAAAUACCCUUCAAUAAUGUGUAAUUUUUUCUUUUUCUAUUAAGUAUUAAUUUCUUUGUUAAUCAAUUUAAACAUUUUUAGUUCAUAAUGAAUUCUAUCAAUAACAAUAUCAGAUAUUUAAUUUUGGCUCAUUGCAGAAGAAAGGUUGCUCAUUACUGUCUACACAAUAUAAUAAACCUCAAGCAAUACCCAAGGAAAGACUACUAUAUACUUUGUGUAUGUGUGUGUGGGUGUGUAUAUUAUGUAUCUAGUUACGUACAUAUGUACAUAUACACAUAUGUAUCUAUUUACAAAUGUAUGUUUGUAUGGGAUCUUCCAACAUUCCACCUCGGUGGUUGCCGAAAGACUGAUCUCAUACGAUAUUCGACAGAAAGUAAAUAACAUAAGUUGUAUUUAGAUAUUUCAGCUUAUAUAGAAACAUAUAAACAUUGUAAUAAGAUUUGCUUUGUAUACGUCAGCUAGUAAAUGGUAUAAACAUU